rnacentral:rRNA from 1 species
GACGAACGCUGGCGGCGUGCUUAACACAUGCAAGUCGAACGGAAAGGCCCUGCUUUUGUGGGGUGCUCGAGUGGCGAACGGGUGAGUAACACGUGAGUAACCUGCCCUUGACUUUGGGAUAACUUCAGGAAACUGGGGCUAAUACCGGAUAGGAGCUCCUGCUGCAUGGUGGGGGUUGGAAAGUUUCGGCGGUGGGGGAUGGACUCGCGGCUUAUCAGCUUGUUGGUGGGGUAGUGGCUUACCAAGGCUUUGACGGGUAGCCGGCCUGAGAGGGUGACCGGCCACAUGGGGACUGAGAGACGGCCCAGACUCGUACGGGAGGCAGCAGUGGGGAAUAUUGCACAAUGGGCGGAAGCCUGAUGCAGCAACGCCGCGUGCGGGAUGACGGCCUUCGGGUUGUAAACCGCUUUCGCCUGUGACGAAGCGUGAGUGACGGUAAUGGGUAAAGAAGCACCGGCUAACUACGUG